rnacentral:lncRNA from 1 species
AGAAGAAGGCUGCCUGUGCUCAAAAGUGGUUGUGGAUCCCAUAGGUGCUAACAUCUGGAGGCUGUCAGUUCUAUUUAUUUUAACAUAUCAAGAGAAGUUAUAUUUCAUUUUACAGAAGAAAAUUAUAUCAGAAAGAUUUCUCUCACUAGAAACAAACAAUGAAGGAAGGGCUCACGAAUCUGGAAAGUUCAAAGUUGGUUGACCAGCUUACCUUUGUCAUGAUGGACCCACUUUACCAGUUGUUUUCGAUCUCUCCAUUCUGUCAAUUAUGGUGUACCCCUAACUCUGAAACUGGCUCCUUUAAUGGAUAUGAGAUAUACUUUCUUUUUCCUGUACAAGGAUACAAGCUUUUUGAUUGGUGCCACCCGCCCCCAGAGUGGGUCUUCACUCUUUGGUCCCUGUUCGGGCGCCACCCGUGACGGAGCCCGCCGUCACUUGUCGAACAGUACCUGAAUGGGAGAGUGAGGAUGAAGAAAAAUAAAGACAAAGAGAUAGAGUCAGGAGGGCUCCCAGAGACCGAGUGCCCAAGUUUUUCUCCUCUCUUUUCUACAACAGGUGAGUUUGCUUGUUAAUCAUGACCCUCAUCCAGAGACACCUGCUUCCUUGUUUUCUAGUUCUUUGGAAAUUCCCCGCCCUCAUGGGCUUCCUUGUUUCUCGGGGUUACAGAACAUUCAUCACGUUCCAGGGCAAUCUAAUUCGGCAAGGAUGCGGUUCCUCAUAACAUAGUCUCCUUGCUCUAUACAAUGGAGGGUAAGAUUCAAAAUGGAGCCUCUUUGUCUAACACCGCUCUCCACAAUUAAGAUGAAAAAAUACUGCCAAUCUGCACAUAUGAUGCUUUCUUCUUACAUGAACUGUGAGG